AGAUGUGAAUAAGAGACAGACUCUGUUCUGAAAUAAAGUAGGUAAAUUCUCCUAAAUACCUUUUCUACCUUUCUCCUUCACCUGUUUGCUUUUGCCUAUGAGAUAUGGGGCUGGGUUCUA